rnacentral:lncRNA from 1 species
GCUGGGCGUGGUGGCGGGUGCCUGUAAUCCCAGCUAUUUGGGAAGCUGAGGCAGGAGAAUCGCUUGAACCCGGGAGGAGAGGUUGCAGUGAGCCGAGAUCAUGCCACUGCAUUCCAGCCUGGGUGACAGAGGAAGACUCUGUCUCCAAAAAAAAAAAAAAGAGAAAGGAAAUAUGAUUUUUUUUUUUUUUUUUGACAGAGAGUUUCAUUCUUGUUGCCCAGGCUGUAGUGCAAUGGCAUGAUCUCAUCUCACUGCAACCUCCACCUCCCAGGUUCAAGUGAUUCUCCUGCCU